rnacentral:lncRNA from 1 species
GAUUGGCUAAGAGCAGUGCAAUUUUUCGAAAUACAGUGCCAAAAAAUGAAAUGCAGUGCAAAAAAAUGAAAUGCAGUGCAAAAAAGUGAAAUACAGUGCAAAAAAGUGAAAUACAGUGCCAAAAAGUGAAAUACAGUGCAAAAAAAUGAGAUACAGUGCAAAAAAAGUGAAAUACAGUGCAAAAAAAUGAAAUACAGUGCCAAAAAGUGAAAUACAGUGCAAAAAAAUGAAAUACAGUGCCAAAAAGUGAAAUACAGUGCCAAAAAAUGAAAUACAGUGCCAAAAAAUGAAAUACAGUGCCAAAAAAGUGAAAUACAGUGCAAAAAAAUGAAAUACAGUGCCAAAAAGUGAAAUACAGUGCAAAAAAUGAAAUACAGCGCCAAAAAAGUGAAAUACAGUGCAAAAAAAUGAAAUACAGUGCAAAAAGUGAGAAUAAUACAAAAACCCAAACAUUUAUACGAGUGACGAUGGCUGGCGUUUUUAGUAGAUUUUCUAAUAAAAUUGUUUAUAUUAAAAUUAUCCGUUUCGCAUGUGACCU